CGGGGUGAGUAACGCGUGGAUAACCUGCCUCACACUGGGGGAUAACAGUUAGAAAUGACUGCUAAUACCGCAUAAGCGCACAGUACCGCAUGGUACAGUGUGAAAAACUCCGGUGGUGUGAGAUGGAUCCGCGUCUGAUUAGCCAGUUGGCGGGGUAACGGCCCACCAAAGCGACGAUCAGUAGCCGACCUGAGAGGGUGACCGGCCACAUUGGGACUGAGACGCGGCCCAA
rnacentral:rRNA from 1 species